rnacentral:lncRNA from 1 species
AUUUAGGAUUGGAAUCUAAAUACUUGAAGAAAAGAGAAGAUAGCAUUCCUUUACGUGGACUAAGCCAGAAUCUGUUUAGUAAUUCAGGUGAGAAAAGACAUUUCUGGACUGAAUUUUUUGUAGUGUGUAUACAUAAAGACUAAAGUGAUAAUCUUUGUUGUUUCAUUUGCAGAUCAUCAGAAAGAUGGCAGUCUAGGAGUGAUGCAGACAUCUUCCAAACCUGCAGUGCUCCCCUCUACAUCUUCAGCCUAUUUUCCUGGGCAGUUACCAAACAGUUAAUUCUAGCAUUGUCUUUUUACUUUCUAUUGACAUUUCAGAAACUCAGGUGUUUUAAAAAUAUCCUAACAGGCAGAAGUCAAAUCCUAACCAGGCAAGUUUCAGAUUUUACUUGAGCUAUCUACCAUUAGACUAUUUAGAUCCUUAAUUCUACUACUGGAUUUACAGCACACAGUUAAAAAAGAAAUAAAUUUGUAUUCAGGGAUUGGUAAAGAUGCUGAGUAAAAGAUAUUUUGGUCUGU